rnacentral:rRNA from 1 species
AUUGAACGCUGGCGGAAUGCUUUACACAUGCAAGUCGAACGGCAGCACGGACUUCGGUCUGGUGGCGAGUGGCGAACGGGUGAGUAAUACAUCGGAACGUGCCCAAUCGGGGGGGAUAACGUAGCGAAAGCUACGCUAAUACCGCAUACGAUCUAAGGAUGAAAGCGGGGGAUCGCAAGACCUCGCGCGAUUGGAGCGGCCGAUGGCAGAUUAGGUAGUUGGUAGGGUAAAGGCCUACCAAGCCGACGAUCUGUAGCUGGUCUGAGAGGAUGAUCAGCCACACUGGGACUGAGACACGGCCCAGACUCCUACGGGAGGCAGCAGUGGGGAAUUUUGGACAAUGGACGCAAGUCUGAUCCAGCCAUUCCGCGUGCAGGAUGAAGGCCCGCGGGUUGUAAACUGCUUUUGUACAGAACGAAAAGGCUCUGGUUAAUACCUAGGGCUCAUGACGGUACUGUAAGAAUAAGCACCGGCUAACUACGUGCCAGCCGCCGCGGUAA